AUUGAACGCUGGCGGCAGGCCUAACACAUGCAAGUCGAGCGGAUGAAGGGAGCUUGCUCCUGGAUUCAGCGGCGGACGGGUGAGUAAUGCCUAGGAAUCUGCCUGGUAGUGGGGGAUAACGUCCGGAAACGGGCGCUAAUACCGCAUACGUCCUGAGGGAGAAAGUGGGGGAUCUUCGGACCUCACGCUAUCAGAUGAGCCUAGGUCGGAUUAGCUAGUUGGUGGGGUAAAGGCCUACCAAGGCGACGAUCCGUAACUGGUCUGAGAGGAUGAUCAGUCACACUGGAACUGAGAUACGGUCCAGACUCCUACGGGAGGCAGCAGUGGGGAAUAUUGGACAAUGGGCGAAAGCCUGAUCCAGCCAUGCCGCGUGUGUGAAGAAAGUCUUCGGAUUGUAAAGCACUUUAAGUUGGGAGGAAGGGCAGUAAGUUAAUACCUUGCUGUUUUGACGUUACCAACAGAAUAAGCACCGGCUAACUUCGUG
rnacentral:rRNA from 1 species